rnacentral:rRNA from 1 species
GGAGCCUGCGGUUUAAUUGGAUUCAACGCCGGAAAUCUCACCGGGGCGACAGCAAUAUGAAGGUCAGGCUGAAGACCUUACCCGAUUUAGCUGAGAGGUGGUGCAUGGCCGUCGUCAGUUCGUACUGUGAAGCAUCCUGUUAAGUCAGGCAACGAGCGAGACCCACGUCCACAGUUGCCAGCAUACCCUCCGGGGUGAUGGGUACACUGUGGAGACCGCCGCUGCUAAAGCGGAGGAAGGAGUGGGCAACGGUAGGUCAGUAUGCCCCGAAUCUCCCGGGCUACACGCGGGCUACAAUGGUUGGUACAAUGGGCAUCUACCCCGAAAGGGGAAGGAAAUCUCUUAAAGCCAAUCGUAGUUCGGAUUGAGGGCUGCAACUCGCCCUCAUGAAGCUGGAAUCCGUAGUAAUCGCGUUUCAACAGAACGCGGUGAAUACGUCCCUGCUCCUU